UCGAAAACGAAACAAAUGCAUUUUUUGUUACAUAUUUUGUUUAUAAUUAAAUGAAUAAAUUUGCAACGCAUAUCAUUUGAAUCAACAAAAGUACAAACUGAUCAGAUAUAUCCUGUGCUGGGCUUAACUCUAUAGAACCCAGGCGAUUGUAUAAACCAAAGUCUUAAAAGCAAAUUCCCAGGAAGUUUCUAUCUUCCCCAGUAUUUUUCCUUCCUUAAAAAAAAAAUAAACGGAGUUCUGCUAACAAGGAGCU